UUGUUCGUUUCAGCAGCACAUAUACUAAAAUUGGAACAAUACAGAGAAGAUUAGCAUGGCCACUGAGCAACGAUGACACACAUACUAAUAAUGAAGCAUUCCAUAUUUUU
ensembl:snRNA U6 U6 spliceosomal RNA